GAGUACGCGUUGGUGACCUACCCCGAAGUGUGGGAUAACAGUCCGAAAGGAUUGCUAAUACCGCAUGUGGUCCCCGGGCUUAGAAACCGGUGACUAAAGCAGCAAUGCGCUUUGGGAGGGACCUGCGUCCCAUCAGCUAGUUGGUGAGGUAACGGCUCACCAAGGCGUCGACGGGUAAGGGACCUGAGAGGGUGGUCCCUCACAAUGGCACUGAAACACGGGCCAUACACCUACGGGUGGCAGCAGUAGGGAAUAUUGGGCAAUGGGCGAAAGCCUGACCCAGCAACGCCGCGUGUACGAUGAAGGUCUUCGGAUCGUAAAGUACUUUUCUGGGAGAUGAGGAAGGACAGUACCUUCUGAAUAAGCCUCGGCUAACUACGUGCCAGCAGCCGCGGUAAAACGUAGGAGGCGAGCGUUAUCCGGAUUUACUGGGCGUAAAGCGCGUGCAGGCGGUUCGGUAAGUUGGAUGUGAAAGCUCCUGGCUUAACUGGGAGAGGUCGUUCAAUACUACCGGGCUUGAGUAUGGGAGAGGGAGGUGGAAUUCCGGGUGUAGUGGUGAAAUGCGUAGAUAUCCGGAGGAACACCAGUGGCGAAAGCGGCUCCUGGCCCAUUACUGACGCUCAGACGCGAAGGCUAAGGGAGCGAACGGGAUUAGAGACCCCGGUAGUCUUAGCUGUAAACUAUGUGGACUUGGCGUCGCGGGUUCAAAUCCGUCGGUGCCGUAGCUAACGCGAUAAGUCCACCGCCUGGGGACUACCGCCGCAAGGUUUAAACUCAAAGGAAUUGACGGGGGCCCGCACAAGCAGCGGAGCGUGUGGUUUAAUUCGAUGUUACACGAAGAACCUUACCAGGGUUUGACAUACAGGUGGUAGGGAAACGAAAGUGGACCGACCCUUCGGGGAGCCUGUACAGGUGCUGCAUGGCUGUCGUCAGCUCGUGUCGUGAGAUGUUCGGUUAAGUCCGCUAACGAGCGCAACCCUCCUGUGUGUUACAUGUGUCACACGGGACUGCCGGUCUUAAGCCGGAGGAAGGUGGGGAUGACGUCAAGUCAGCAUGGCCUUAUGCUGGGCUACACACACGCUACAAUGGCCAACACAUAGGUCGCGAAGUCGCGAGGCGAAGCCAAUCCUCAAAGUUGUCUCAGUUCAGAUUGCAGGCU
rnacentral:rRNA from 1 species